AUUGUUUCUAAAUAAAAAAAGGAGAAAAAGAAAAAGAAAAUUGCAUGGCCAAUAACAAGGAGGGCAGUAAUAAUCUUUGGGUAUGUACCUAGUUAGCAUGAGUGUAGUGUAGGAACCUGAACUGGUAACUAUCUAACUUAUUGCAUGCUAUUGGCCCCUUUGUCUCCCAGGUUGCUAGACAUCACAGCUGUUAUACCUCCUCCCUCCUGGUACCUUUCAGUGUGACAUUUAAGAAACUGGAGGAAAGGCCCAAGGACAAGGCCAGCAAAGAAGUCUGUCUUGCCACUUGCACAAUGUGGAAUUCUCAGCUUCUCCAGCACCAUGUCUGCCUGCAUGCUGCCGUGCCCCAUCAUGGUGAUAAUGGACUGAAUGUCUGAACUGUAAGCUGCCACUUCAAUUAGAUGUUUCCCUUUAUAAGAGUUACCGUGGUCAUGGGGUCUCUUCACAGCAACAGAAACCCUAAGACACCUUCCAUUGCUUGCUGUCAGCUGUGAUCUUACAACUGUGAGAAAAGUAAUAAAGAAGGACAAGAGAGGAAGAGGAAGGGAGUGGGGAAAGGUCCAGAAGGCCAUCUCACAAGGCAGCAUCAUUUCAAGCUUCCACAACCUUUUAACACUGCCAAGGGCAGGGGACCAAGUCUGCAGCACAUGGGCCCCAGGAGGAUAUUCCAAAUCCAAACAAUGGCAUUCACUUGGCCUCAUCCUCUGUAAUUUUCCCAGACCAACCAUCUGUCACAUCCAGUCAUAAAGCAGUCUGCUCAAGAGGAGCUGGUCUCACUCUGACCCCUUUUCUGGUAUCUAAUGUUCUUCAGAGCCUCUCAUGUCCCUCAUGUGUCCUAACCCAUGCAAUCCAGUCUUCACUAGCUUCCUAAAGAACAGAUGGGGAAUGGGAUGGAUUGUCUUGCUUAGCUUCAGACCCUAUUGGCACUCGCUGUGGACUGAGAGCUGUCCACUUAUCCUCUCGUCUAGCUCAUUUCCCACCCAUCCUGCCUACUGUGUCUGGUUCUUAAGCUUCAGGGUGUAUGAGAACGAGAUGGAAAGCUUGUUAAAAUGUAUUUCGGGGCUAAACACCCAGAGGUUCUGAUUCAGUGGUUUGGGGUUGCUAUACCAUGUAACUAGGAUGUCAGCUCUACCAUGCUAGAGAUCCUAUAGGCCUUUCUCCAGGACCAGCCACCCAGUGCCUUUGUAUUGUUGGGCAGACAUGGUAAGUUGUUUCCUACAAUUCAACAGAGGAUUGAUUCCUUUGCUGCAUGAUCCCCCUGGGCUACUUUCUCCAUCAGGGUUGUUUGCAUCCUUGGCCUUUAUGUGGUACAGAUCUCAUUCACAGGCAAGAAGGCAG
rnacentral:lncRNA from 1 species